rnacentral:rRNA from 1 species
UACGGAGGAUGCAAGCGUUAUCCGGAUUCAUUGGGUUUAAAGGGUGCGCAGGUUGUUUGAUAAGUCAGUGGUGAAAGUCUGUCGCUUAACGGUAGGAUUGCCAUUGAUACUGUUGGACUUGAAUAUGGAUGAGGUAGGCGGAAUGUGUAGUGUAGCGGUGAAAUGCAUAGAUAUUACACAGAACACCGAUUGCGAAGGCAGCUUACUAAUCCAUCAUUGACGCUGAGGCACGAAAGCGUGGGGAUCAAACA